rnacentral:rRNA from 1 species
ACGACGCUGGCGGCGUGCUUAACACAUGCAAGUCGAACGAGAAGAGAUGAGAAGCUUGCUUCUAUUGAUUCGAGUGGCAAACGGGUGAGUAACGCGUAAGCAACCUGCCCUUCAGAUGGGGACAACAGCUGGAAACGGCUGCUAAUACCGAAUACGUUCUUUUUGUCGCAUGGCAGAGGGAAGAAAGGAAGGCUCUUCGGAGCUUUCGCUGAAGGAGGGGCUUGCGUCUGAUUAGCUAGUUGGAGGGUAACGGCCCACCAAGGCGACGAUCAGUAGCCGGUCUGAGAGGAUGAACGGCCACAUUGGGACUGAGACACGGCCCAGACUCCUACGGGAGGCAGCAGUGGGGAAUCUUCCGCAAUGGACGAAAGUCUGACGGAGCAACGCCGCCGUGAACGAUGACGGCCUUCGGGUUGUAAAGUUCUGUUAUACGGGACGAAUGGCGUAGCGGUCAAUACCCGUUACGAGUGACGGUACCGUAAGAGAAAGCCACGGCUAACUACGUGCCAGCAGCGGC